AGUGAACGCUGGCGGUAGGCCUAACACAUGCAAGUCGAACGGCAGCACAGUAAGAGCUUGCUCUUACGGGUGGCGAGUGGCGGACGGGUGAGGAAUACAUCGGAAUCUACUUUUUCGUGGGGGAUAACGUAGGGAAACUUACGCUAAUACCGCAUACGACCUACGGGUGAAAGCAGGGGAUCUUCGGACCUUGCGCGAUUGAAUGAGCCGAUGUCGGAUUAGCUAGUUGGCGGGGUAAAGGCCCACCAAGGCGACGAUCCGUAGCUGGUCUGAGAGGAUGAUGAGGCAGACGAGAAGUGAGACAGGGAAAAGACGCCAACGGGAGGCAGCAGUGGGGAAUGGGUGAAAAUGGGGGGAAGGGUGAAACAGCCAUACCGAGUGGGUGAAGAAGGCCUUCGGGUUGUAAAGCUCUUUUGAUGGGAAAAAAAAGAAGAAGGUUAAUACCCAGCGGGUCUGAAGGUACAGAAAGAAUAAGCACCGGCUAACUUAGUG
rnacentral:rRNA from 1 species